rnacentral:lncRNA from 1 species
CAGGGCCUGCAGGGGUUGCCGUGGCCACUGCAAUGCAGAAAUAUGAGAAACUGGAGAAGAUUGGGGAAGGGCACCUAUGGAACUGUAUUCAAGGCCCCAAACCGGGAGACCCAUGAGAUUGUGGCUCUGAAACGGAUGAGGCUGGAUGAUGAUGAUGAGGGUGUGCCGAGUUCUGCCUACUGAGGGAGAUCUGCCUCCUCAAGGAGCUGAAGCACAAGAACAUCGUCAGGCUUCGUUCUGCAUAGUGACAAGAAGCUGACUUUGGUUUUUGAGUUCUGUGAUCAGGACCUGAAGAAGUAUUUUGACAACUGCAAUGGUGACCUCGAUCCUGAGAUUCUGAAGUCAUUCCUUUUCCAGCUGCUGAAAGGCCUGGGAUUCUGUCAUAGCUGCAACGUGUUUCACAGGGACCUGAAGCCCCAGAACCUCCUCAUAAACAGGAAUGAGGAGCUGAAGUUGGCUGAUUUUGGUUUGGCUCAAGCCUUUGGGAUCCCAGUCUGCUGUUACUCUGCUGGAGGUGGUGACAUUGUGGUACCGUCCACAGGAUGACCUCUUUGGGGCCAAACUGUACUCCACGUCCAUGGACAUGUGGUCAGCUGGCUGCAUCUUUGCAGAGCUGGCCAAUGCUGGGCAACCUCUUUUCCUUGGCAAUGAUGAGGAUGACCAACUGAAGAAGAUCUUCCGGCUGCUGGGGACACCAACUGAGGAGCAGUGGCCCGCUAUGACUAAGCUGCCAGACUACAAGCCCUACCCAAUGUAUCCCGCCACAACAUCCCUGGUGAAUGCCGUG